CAGCAGCCGCGGGAAUACGUAGGGUGCGAGCGUUAAUCGGAAUUACUGGGCGUAAAGCGUGCGCAGGCGGUUAUAUAAGACAGAUGUGAAAUCCCCGGGCUCAACCUGGGACCUGCAUUUGUGACUGUAUAGCUAGAGUACGGUAGAGGGGAAUGGAAUUCCGCGUGUAGCAGUGAAAUGCGUAGAUAUGCGGAGGAACACCGAUGGCGAAGGCAAUCCCCCGGACCUGUACUGACACUCAUGCACGAAAGCGUGAGGAGCAAACAGGAUUAGAUACCCCAGUAGUCCCUGUCUCUUAUAC
rnacentral:rRNA from 1 species